rnacentral:rRNA from 5 species
UGGUGGGUAGUUUGACUGGGGCGGUCUCCUCCUAAAGAGUAACGGAGGAGCACGAAGGUUGGCUAAUCCUGGUCGGACAUCAGGAGGUUAGUGCAAUGGCAUAAGCCAGCUUGACUGCGAGCGUGACGGCGCGAGCAGGUGCGAAAGCAGGUCAUAGUGAUCCGGUGGUUCUGAAUGGAAGGGCCAUCGCUCAACGGAUAAAAGGUACUCCGGGGAUAACAGGCUGAUACCGCCCAAGAGUUCAUAUCGACGGCGGUGUUUGGCACCUCGAUGUCGGCUCAUCACAUCCUGGGGCUGAAGUAGGUCCCAAGGGUAUGGCUGUUCGCCAUUUAAAGUGGUACGCGAGCUGGGUUUAGAACGUCGUGAGACAGUUCGGUCCCUAUCUGCCGUGGGCGCUGGAGAACUGAGGGGGGCUGCUCCUAGUACGAGAGGACCGGAGUGGACGCAUCACUGGUGUUCGGGUUGUCAUGCCAAUGGCACUGCCCGGUAGCUAAAUGCGGAAGAGAUAAGUGCUGAAAGCAUCUAAGCACGAAACUUGCCCCGAGAUGAGUUCUCCCUGAGACUUAAAGUCUCCUGAAGGAACGUUGAAGACGACGACGUUGAUAGGCCGGGUGUGUAAGCGCAGCGAUGCGUUGAGCUAACCGGUACUAAUGAACCGUGAGGCUUAACCUUACA